rnacentral:rRNA from 1 species
GUGCCAGCAGCCGCGGUAAUACGUAGGUGGCAAGCGUUGUCCGGAAUUAUUGGGCGCAAAGCGCGCGCAGGUGCUCUCUUAAGUCUGAUGUGAAAGCCCCCGGCUCAACCGGGGAGGGUCAUUGGAAACUGGGAGACUUGAGUGCAGGAGAGAAGAGUGGAAUUCCACGUGUAGCGGUGAAAUGCGUAGAGAUGUGGAGGACACCAGUGCGAAGGCGACUUUGGCCUGUAACUGACACUGAGGCGC